rnacentral:rRNA from 1 species
UAGCCUUGACAUAUAUUAGAACUCACCAGAGAUGGAGAGGUGCCUUCGGGAGCUUUUAUACAGGUGCUGCACGGCUGUCGUCAGCUCGUGUCGUGAGAUGUUGGGUUAAGUCCCGCAACGAGCGCAACCCUCGUCACUAGUUACUAACGGUUCGGCCGAGGACUCUAGUGAGACUGCCUUCGUAAGGAGGAGGAAGGUGAGGACGACGUCAAGUCAUCAUGGCCCUUACGGCUAGGGCAACACACGUGCUACAAUGGCCAGGACAGUGAGACGCGAUACCGCGAGGUGGAGCAAAUCUAUAAACCUGGUCUCAGUUCGGAUUGUAGUCUGCAACUCGACUACAUGAAGCUGGAAUCACUAGUAAUCGUAGAUCAGCUAUGCUACGGUGAAUACGUUCCCGGGUCU